UACGUAGGGCGCGAGCGUUGUCCGGAAUUAUUGGGCGUAAAGAGCUCGUAGGCGGCCUGUUGCGUCCGCUGUGAAAUCCCGGGGCUCAACCCUGGGCGUGCAGUGGAUACGGGCAGGCUGGAGGCAGGCAGGGGAGAACGGAAUUCCCGGUGUAGCGGUGAAAUGCUUAGAUAUGACAUAGAACACCGAUUGCGAAGGCAGCUAACUACAGGGAUAUUGACACUGAGGCACGAAAGCGUGGGGAUCAAACAGG
rnacentral:rRNA from 1 species